GACGAACGCUGGCGGCGUGCUUAACACAUGCAAGUCGAACGGAAAGGCCCUGCUUGCAGGGUACUCGAGUGGCGAACGGGUGAGUAACACGUGGGUGAUCUGCCCUGCACUUCGGGAUAAGCCUGGGAAACUGGGUCUAAUACCGGAUAGGAGCCAUUUUUAGUGUGAUGGUUGGAAAGUUUUUUCGGUGUAGGAUGAGCUCGCGGCCUAUCAGCUUGUUGGUGGGGUAAUGGCCUACCAAGGCGGCGGCGGGUAGCCGGCCUGAGAGGGUGGACGGCCACAUUGGGACUGAGGUACGGCCCAGACUCCUACGGGAGGCAGCAGUGGGGAAUAUUGCACAAUGGGCGCAAGCCUGAUGCAGCGACGCCGCGUGGGGGAUGACGGCCUUCGGGUUGUAAACUCCUUUCGCUAGGGACGAAGCUUUUUGUGACGGUACCUAGAUAAGAAGCACCGGCUAACUACGUG
rnacentral:rRNA from 1 species